UGCAGCAGUGGUGCUGGAAGGAUGACGUAGGGCAUUCGUGUACAUGCACUAGGGAUGUCUUCGAUUCUUUUAGCUUGAUUGAUUAAACCAGGACUCUGAACAGGUUUAAAAAUCCAUCCUCUGUCAAAGGUUUUACUGACAACUUUCCAUACAGUUGGUCAAAAAAUAAAAAAAUACAGAACCACAGCAGACAGUAUCUUGUACACUAGAAAUCAACAUAACCGGAUUCCCUUCUCAUCGUUUAAAAAAAAAAAUCCCCCAAAAUCUAAGAACUUAGUUUUGGUGGUGGACAGGACUUUGAUCCCCACCCAAAUGAACCAAAAUAACCCAGGAGAUAAUUCAAACCAAAGUGGUAGGGUAGAGAGGGGAUCAGAUUUUAAAAUAACUGCUUUUGUGACACAAACAUGACGCUGGGAAAGACAGGCUUGGGCUAGGCAGUGUCUCUGACGAUGACUAUCACCAUGUGUUCUUCUUCUAGCUUGCCCAAUGUCCUUAGUGCUGACUGGAGGUACUGCUGGGAAAAGUCGCAGGGUGGGAAGGCGUAGAGCAUGCCUGUGCCGUCUCUGCCCUUGGACCCCCCCACUGGCAAGCUGAUCACCCCUGCGGCCUGCUUCUGUUUCAAGUAGGAGACCAGGUUCCUGAGAAGCCGCCUCUGCAGACCGGGCUCUACUGUGGGCAUCCCCUCAGUGCCAAGCCCACUGGGGGUUGCCUGGGUGGCUAAGAGGACCGCAUAGCCGUUGGGGCUCCCCUGCUUGAUGCGUCGUGUGACCUCGUCAAGCUUGGGCUGGUCCAGUCGAAGGCGCUGGGCGAUCUUCAGCUGGGUCAGCUUGCUCCCAGAAGUGUGGUCUUUGAGGAGACUGCUGAUCACCCCCUGGUCCCCCUCUAGGAUAUGCAUAGACGUGGGGAAGCAGCUGUUUUUCAACACCAGAAGCCCAUUCCAACCCAGCUGUAGUGUCUGAGCGUACUCUGAAAGAUUCUUCAGCUUUUUGGUCUCGUGUUUUGGCUCUUCCAGAGGCUUGGGCUCGGCCUCUGUGGUCCGGUGAUUGCGCUCGCUGUCUCUUGCCUUCUUCCCGUGGGAAGAGUCUGCAGCCUCGUGGUGGUGGUGGUGGUGGCCCCGUUCCUCAGCCCCAUGUCUGCUGUUGCUGAGGGAGUUGCUGCUGGACUCCUUGGUCCCUUCACUGGAGUGGUUCUCCUUGCGGCUGCGCUCAGGGGUGCGGUCGGAGCCCCGCUCUGACUGCUGCCCACUGCCCUUGGUCCUACUCCGUUCCUCAUAUGGUGAAUGGGUUGUCCUCCCACGGUCACUGGAAAGGCUUCUCCGUUUCCGCCUCUCUUCCCAGGGCUUGGGCAAACCACGGUCUCCAUCUGCCCCCCAACGCUCACCACUCCGGCUGCGCACUGAGCGACUGUAGCCCUCAAGGCUGUUUCGGCGGUCAGAGCUUUUACUGGGGCUGGUCCAGUCCCCUUCCAAAAAAGUCCGGUCUCGGUCUGAGUACAGAAGGUGUGGGGGCGUCCUGUCCCGCACCAGGUCGGCGUCCAGGUUGCGGUGCCGGGUGUAUCCAUCUGUGAGCAGCUCAUAAUGCACAGGGAGUGGCGAGGGCUGGUACUGCUGGGGGUACCGAGUCUCCUCUGCUUUGGCAAAAUCCACGCGGAGCCUGCGGUCUGGUCCACCCAAGGGAAAACCCCUCAUUUUAGCACAGGCGGCCUGGGCUGCGUCCAAGCUCUCGUACUGAAUAUAGGCAAAGCUAUCUCCUUUGACGUGAUCAAUGGUCCGAAUGCUCCCAAAGCGGUCAAACUCUCGGGCCAGAGCCGCCAGUGACGUGUUAGGUCCCAGGCCACCCACCCAGAGACGAGUGGUGGGGUUGGCCUUGCCAUAGCCUAUCUUAAUGGGGUUGCGACCAAUCACUCGGCCCGACAUGGCCACCUUAGCCCUAUGGGCCAUGUCCAGGUUCUGGAACUUGAGGAAGGCAUAGGCACCGCCCUGGCCACGGGCAGGCCUCUUGAUGACCACCUCCUCGAUGAUGCCAUAUUUCUCGAAGGCCCUUCGCAGCUCCACCUCAGAUACGCUGUGGUCCAGGUUACCAAUGAAGAGGUUGCGCGUGGCCCGCUGGUCAUCCUCGGGCAUCAGGUCCUCCUCACACACAGCUGGGUAGCCAUAGGGGCGCCCACGGUCGUCGUACAGCCCGUAGUAGUCCAGGGCCCGCUCCCGGGACAGUCCCACGGCGGCGGCAGCAGCGGCAUCCAGGGCGAAGGCUGCGGCGGCGUGACGGGCACGGGGCUCCCGCAGGGGCGGGGCAGCGACGGGGGACAGCGAGCGCUGCUUGUACUGGUAGCCUCCGUGUAGCGGGAGGUAGCCGAGCGGGUCGGCGGGCUAGAGUCUCGCUCGCUCUGCCGCUUCAUGGCGCUGGCGCGGCGGGCGGGCGGCCCGUAGGUUUCUCACAGCGGCGGC
rnacentral:lncRNA from 1 species